rnacentral:lncRNA from 11 species
UAGCAAUUGUUCUAGUAGUAAAAGGAUGAGAAAGGAAGCAAACAAUAAAUGAUGCCCGAGUCCUGUUCACUGUCCUUUCUGCAUUGAGCCAUUUUUAAACUUUGCUCUAAAACCUGGUGAUUUAGGGGGGGGGGGGGGGGACCUAGAUCUUCAAUAACACCAGAGCUGAAACUAAUAGAGAAUAUAUUCUUCUCUUGUGAAUGGGUGUUUGCUUUUACUUAGGGCUCUCAGAUCUCAGGAUCUGGGCCAGAGCCACAGGGAUUGGACUUUUUUCUCUAAUCCUCAGGGUGAAGAAUCUCAGGGUUAGAGCAUACCUUUGAAAAUCCUCAAGAUCCCUGGCUAUUUUAGACUAUUUUGUGUUCAGAGCGAAUCUUAACAAACAGAUCUUAAGUUGAACCUGCAGUGUGUUCUUAAAAGCAGUGCUUUCAAAGAUGUUAAAACAGAGUUGGAGAAAAAUUCUGUCUAUACAGUUUCUUUUUAUGCUCUAUAGGGACCUUGAAAAGUCCAUUCUGUUAAUAUAUUUAGAAAUUGUUCCUAAGAUAUGUCAGACUUGUUGUUCAUUAUUUGAAUGACAGAUUCUGGACAAUUUGGCUGAUAUUUAAUAUCUCACAGCCCAAAAAGCCAAUGCAAUUCAAGGUUGCACCAACUGGACUAUCAAGUUCACAUUUCAAACAUAAUACCACCACUCUAUUUCUUUUCUGGUCAGGCUUUACAUGGAGUCCUAUUUCCAUUUCUCAAGUAAAAGAAGCUGGAAUAUGUCCAAAGCAGGGUGACCAAGACAUCAAAGGACUGUGCACAGCUUCAUAUACUCCAUCAUUUCACAGAUGAAAACCAGGAUGUGUGUCCCCAGGCAACCUCAGAAUGUGGCUAAGAUUUAGAUUAAGCAACAGGGCAACUUUCUGAUAGUCCUGUUCAGCUGUGGAAGAUACUACUUCAGAAGAUGGUGGACUUUACUUCAUUGCAGAUUUUUAAACAGAAGUUAGAAGGGGAUCUUUCAGGAAUGUUCCUGCUGUGAAUUUCAGCACUGGCUGUGGGCCGGAUAAUGGCCCUGGGUUUUUUCAACUCUAUUCUAUGAUUCUGUGGUCUUCCAUCCAAGUAUCAACUUGCAUUCAUUCCAAAAUCAGAGCAUAUUGGGUUUGUUCAGCAUUGUAUGUUGAUAGAGGAAGAAGGUUGUAGCAGAGAAAGGCAGUCAACUGAGAAUAUAGGGACAAAGUUCUGGCCCAGCUUAUCUGUCUGAACGUGUCCCCCCGCUACGACCCACCUCAAAGCUUAAGAUCAGAGACAGGGCCUUUUCAGUAGUGGCUCCCCGCCUAUAGUACGCCCCCCCCAGUGAAGUCAGGCAAGCUCCCUCUUUCCUAUCUUUCCAUAGGAAAGUUAAAACUUGGUUGUGGGGCCAGGCUUUCAAAUAACAAUUAGCAGCACUAAUUAUUAUUAUGUACGCUGGAACGCAAUUGACAGACCCAGUCUUUUAGACUCGAACAUGCCCAUUUGUAUUUUAUAAGUGUUUUUAUGAAUUCUGAUGUAAUUUAAUAACUUUUAAAUUGAUUUACAAUGUAUUGUACAAUUUUAUAUAUGUGUUUUAUUGUAAGCCGCCCCGAGUCCCCUAUUGGGUGAGAAGGGCGGGAUAUAAAUAUUGUAAUAAACAAAUAAACAAAUAAAUAAAUAAAAC